GACGAACGCUGGCGGCGUGCUUAACACAUGCAAGUCGAACGGAAAGGCCCUGCUUUUGUGGGGUGCUCGAGUGGCGAACGGGUGAGUAACACGUGAGUAACCUGCCCUUGACUUUGGGAUAACUUCAGGAAACUGGGGCUAAUACCGGAUAGGAGCUCCUGCUGCAUGGUGGGGGUUGGAAAGUUUCGGCGGUUGGGGAUGGACUCGCGGCUUAUCAGCUUGUUGGUGGGGUAGUGGCUUACCAAGGCUUUGACGGGUAGCCGGCCUGAGAGGGUGACCGGCAACAUGGGGACAGAGAGAGGCCCCGGGCCCAGACGGGGGGAAGGGGGGGAAAAUUGAGCAAACGGGGCGGAGGCUGUAGAGAGCAGCGCCGGGUGGGGAAGGACGGCUUGGGGGUAGGAACCCGAUUUCGCUGGUAACGGAGUGUGUGGACGGGAAAUGGAUAAAAAGGCCCGGCUAACCUCGGG
rnacentral:rRNA from 1 species